rnacentral:rRNA from 1 species
CUUAGAGUAAUGUCUAAGUAUCAUUAAGUGAAUACAUAGCUUAAUGAGGGGAACUCAGGGAACUGAAACAUCUAAGUACCUGAAGGAAGAGAAAGAAAUUCGAUUCCGUAAGUAGCGGCGAGCGAACGCGGAUUAGCCCAAACUAAUAAAGUUUUCUUUAUUGGGGUUGCGGACAUAUCAUAACGAAGAGGUAUCGUAAUUGAAGAGGUUUGGAAAGACCCACCACAGAAGGUAAUAGUCCUGUAUGUUAAACGAGAAGACUUUAGAUAUGAUCCAGAGUACCACGGGACACGUGAAACCCUGUGGGAAGCAGGAGGGACCACCCUCCAAGGCUAAAUACUACCUAGUGACCGAUAGCGUAUAGUACCGUGAGGGAAAGG